rnacentral:sRNA from 1 species
GAGGAAGUAAAAGUCGUAACAAGGUUUCCGUAGGUGAACCUGCGGAAGGAUCAUUAUUGAAUAAACUUGAACAGGCUGUUGCUCAUAUGGUGCACGCUUGUCAUCUUUAUUUUUCCAACUGUGCACAUACUGUAGACCUGGAUUUGGAAAUUGUCCAUGGGUGGCUUUUGCCUUGUUAUCUUUUUCAGUGUCUAUGUCUUUACAAAUAAUAAUAAUGUCUAGAAUGUUGUAAUUGGAUAAUAAAUUUAUACAACUUUCAGCAACGGAUCUCUUGGCUCUCGCAUCGAUGAAGAACGCAGCGAAAUGCGAUAAGUAAUGUGAAUWGCAGAAUUCAGUGAAUCAUCGAAUCUUUGAACGCAUCUUGCGCUCCUUGGUAUUCCGAGGAGCAUGCCUGUUUGAGUGUCAUUUAAGCUAAUCAACCAUAGUGUUGGAUAUGGGAGUUUGUGCAGGCUUUUUUUUCCAAGUCAGCUCUCCUAAAAUGUAUUAGUGGUGUUGGGACUACUACAGGUGUGAUAAUUUAUCUUACAUCUCUGGGUAUGGUCAUCAACAUGCUACUUUUGAUAAAUGGAAUUUUUUAAGACUUGACCUCAAAUCAGGUAGGACUACCCGCUGAACUUAAGCAUAUCAAUAAGCGGA